rnacentral:rRNA from 1 species
AUUGAACGCUGGCGGCAGGCUUAACACAUGCAAGUCGAGCGAGAGGCGGACGGGUGAUUAAUGUCUAGGAACCUGCCUGAUGGAGGGGGAUAACUACUGGAAACGGUAUCUUAUACCGCCUACCAUACAAUGUGCCCCUCUGUGAUUAGCUAGUAGGUGGGGUAAUGGCUCACCUAGGCUACGAUCCCUAGCUGGUCUGAUGGGAUGACGAGCCACACUGGAACUGAGACACGGUCCAGACUCCUACCACGAUCAACAGUUAAAAAUAUUGCACAAUGGGCGCAAGCCUGAUUCAGCAAUACCGGGUGUGUGGAGAAGGCCUUCGGGUUGUAAAGCACUUUCAGCGAGGAGGCGUUACUCGCAGAAGAAGCACCGGCUAACUCCGUGCCAGCAGCCGCGGUAAUUC